rnacentral:rRNA from 1 species
AUUGAACGCUGGCGGCAGGCCUAACACAUGCAAGUCGAGCGAGCGGCGGACGGGUGAGUAAUGUCUGGGAAACUGCCUGAUGGAGGGGGGUAACUACUGGAAACGGUAGCUAAUCCCGCAUACCAUCAGAUGUGCCCAGCUGGGAUUAGCUAGUCGGUGGGGUAAGGGCUCCCCUAGGCGACGAUCCCUAGCUGGUCUGAGAGGAUGACAAGCCACACUGGAACUGAGAAACGGGCCAGACUCCAACGGGAGGCAGCAGUGGGGAAUAGUGCACAAUGGGCGAAAGCCUGAUACAGCCAUGCCGCGUGUGUGAAGAAGGCCUUCGGGUUGUAAAGCACUUUCAGCGGGGAGGCGUUACCCGCAGAAGAAGCACCGGCUAACUCCGUGCCAGCAGCCGCGGUAAUUC